GGGGAAUUUUGGACAAUGGGGGCAACCCUGAUCCAGCCAUCCCGCGUGUGCGAUGAAGGCCUUCGGGUUGUAAAGCACUUUUGGCAGGGAAGAAACAGCCUGGGCUAAUAUCCCGGGCGACUGACGGUACCUGCAGAAUAAGCACCGGCUAACUACGUGCCAGCAGCCGCGGUAAUACGUAGGGGGCAAGCGUUGUCCGGAUUUCCUGGGUGUAAAGGGUGCUCAGGAGGAUUUGUAAGUCAGAGGUGAAAUCUUACAGCUUAACUGUGAAACUGUCUUUGAUACUGCAAGCCUAGAGUAUGGAAGAGAGUGAUGGAAGAUCUGGUGUAGCAGUGAAAUGCGUAGAUAUCAGAUAGAACACCAAUGGCGAAGGCAGUCACUUGGUCCAUUACUGACGCUAAAGCACGAAAGCGUGGGUAGCA
rnacentral:rRNA from 1 species